rnacentral:rRNA from 1 species
CCUACGGGUGGCAGCAGUGAGGAAUAUUGGUCAAUGGGCGAGAGCCUGAACCAGCCAAGUCGCGUGAGGGAGUACUGCCCUAUGGGUUGUAAACCUCUUUUGUCGGGGAGCAAAAGCCGGACGUGUCCGGCUGUGAGAGUACCCGAAGAAAAAGCAUCGGCUAACUCCGUGCCAGCAGCCGCGGUAAUACGGAGGAUGCGAGGUUUAUCCGGAUUUAUUGGGUUUAAAGGGGGCGCAGGCGGAUUUUUAAGUCAGCGGUAAAAUCGUGGGGCUCAACCCCAUCCAGCCGUUGAAACUGGGGAUCUAGAGUGUGCGAGAGGUAUGCGGAAUGCGUGGUGUAGCGGUGAAAUGCAUAGAUAUCACGCAGAACCCCGAUUGCGAAGGCAGCAUACCGGUGCACAACUGACGCUCAGGCACGAAAGCGUGGGUAUCGAACAGGAUUAGAUACCCUAGUAGUC